GGCAGUAUGGUGUAUGCACGCACGCGGGGCUUCAACACGUGUUGAUCACACCGAGAUUACCCCUGAGGACCUCGUUCGACUCGAGGUACUGCUC